GCGAUCAUAGCUCAAUUGGCUAGAGCGCUGCCCUGUCACGGCAGAGGUUGAGGGUUCGAGACCCUUUGGUCGCGCCA
rnacentral:tRNA from 1 species